GCUUAACGCGAAGAACCUUACCCAGACUUGACAUCCUUGGAAGGCCUCCGAAAGGAGACUGUGCCUUCGGGAACCAAGUGACAGGUGUUGCAUGGCCGUCGUCAGCUCGUGUCGUGAGAUGUUUGGUUAAGUCCAUCAACGAGCGCAACCCUUAUAGUUAGUUGAAUUUUUCUAGCUAGACUGCCCUGGCAACAGAGAGGAAGGAGGGGAUGAUGUCAGGUCAGUAUUACCCUUACGUCUGGGGCUACAAACACGCUACAAUGGCCGGUACAAAGGGCAGCCAACCCGCGAGGGGGAGCUAAUCCCAUCAAAGCCGGUCUCAGUUCGGAUUGCAGGCUGAAACUCGCCUGCAUGAAGCCGGAAUCGCUAGUAACGGUAAGUCAACACAUUACCGUGAAUACGUUCCCGGGUCUUGUACACACCG
rnacentral:rRNA from 1 species